rnacentral:piRNA from 2 species
UCUUCCAACUUUUUUUCCAUCCGGGCUGC